rnacentral:rRNA from 1 species
UACGAAGGGGGCUAGCGUUGCUCGGAAUCACUGGGCGUAAAGCGCACGUAGGCGGCUUCUUAAGUCAGGGGUGAAAUCCUGGAGCUCAACUCCAGAACUGCCUUUGAUACUGAGAAGCUUGAGUCCGGGAGAGGUGAGUGGAACUGCGAGUGUAGAGGUGAAAUUCGUAGAUAUUCGCAAGAACACCGGUGGCGAAGGCGGGUCUCUGGGCCGAUACUGACGCUGAGGAGCGAAAGCGUGGGGAGCGAACAGG